GAAAUGCGAUAAGUAAUGUGAAUUGCAGAAUUCAGUGAAUCAUCGAAUCUUUGAACGCACAUUGCGCCCGCCAGUAUUCUGGCGGGCAUGCCUGUUCGAGCAUCAUUUCAACCAUCAAGCCCCCGGCUUGUGUUGGGGACCUGCGGCUGCCCGCAGGCCCUGAAAAACAGUGGCGGGCUCGCUGUCACACCGAGCGUAGUAGCAUACAUUCUCGCUCAGGGCGUGCUGCGGGUUCCGGCCGUUAAACGACCUUCAUAACCCAAGGUUGACCUCGGAUCAGGUAGGAAGACCCGCUGAACUUAAGC
rnacentral:misc_RNA from 1 species